CGUUUGAGAUCAUGGUCAUGAUCAUAAAAAAAAAAAAAAAAAAAUGUAAGUAAAAUAUAUUGUAAUAAAAUUAUUAGCAUUACUAGGACAACGACAUGUUUGCUCUUCAAAUAACGGGCCAGUAGUGGCUUGCUUCGAAGCAAGACCACUACUGGUCCGUAUUUGAAGAGCAAAACAAAGCUCUAACCACUGAUAUAUUAAAUAAGUAAAACGGGCAAUAACCUGUUUGAAUACAAGGGGAACCUUCCUCUAAGGCUAAAUAUAAUACAUAAGCGAUAGCGUAAAGUACUGUGAAGGAAAGGUUGAAAUAGUAGUUUUAUAAGCAGCUCAAGUUUAAAUAAAUAGUAAGAGCGUACCUUUUGCAUAAUGGGUCAGCAAGUUAAUAUUAGAUGCGAGCAGUAAUGCCUAGAUAAACCAAUUAUGAAAUAAUGAAUUAGUAUCUAAAAUUAGACCCGAAGCCUAGUGAUCUUACCAUGGUCAGGGUUAUAAAAGCCCGAACGGUUUAUCGUUGUAAAGAUAUCCGAUGAACUGUGGUAAGUUAGUGAAAGACAAAACUGACUAGGAUAGCUGGUUUUCUGCGAAACCUAUAUAAGUAGGUAAUUCAAGUUACAUCAUAGCAGGUACAGAACUGUGAUCUCAGGCAACUUAUAAUUUCUUAUCUAGGCAACGCCUAGAUAAGAAAUAAUUUUGCAUAUAUCGGGGAAUCGUGAGGAUUUUAUCGGUGAGUAUUCGCACUCGGAAGGGCAAUGAUGAAUAUAAAAAUGUAUUGAAUAAUCGGACAUAGUACGAUAAGGUUGUAUGUCUAAAGGGAAACAGCCCAGAACAAGAGUUAAGGUUCCAAAAUUAUUGUUAAGUGAAACUAAGGAAGUUUCUAUCUAAUACAACUAGGAAAUAGGCUUAGAAGCGGCUAUUUUUUGAAGACCUCGUAACAGAGCACUGGUUUAGUAAAAACUUUACAUUGAUAGUUGCACCGAAAAUUUAACGGAUCUAAACAAUAUACCGACACCUUGUCCAUAUUGUUAAAUAUAAUAUAGAAUUUAACUAUGGGGUAGCAGAACGUUGGGUAAAUCUUAGACAUAUUCUUUUUAAGAAUAUAGAGUAAUAACGAGUAAUAUCGUGUGAGAGCCCUGAAUUAAUGGUAACCCAAGUGAGAAUGCUGACAUGAGUAACGAAAAAGGGUCCCUUGCGUUCGUUAAGAUGAAUUUGAAGAAUAGGAAUUAGUUGUCCAGUUUAGGGCGGACAUUCAAUUAAUUCAAAAAAAAACGUAGGAAAUUAAUAUGGGGGGGAUAUCUAACAAAAGAUAUUAUAGCCCUCGCCUAAAGCUUAUGGAUUUAUUAAAGUAACGGCCUCUAAGUUUACUAACCUAAAGGAUUAAACGAUGAGUAAAGCUUACCUACAAAGUAACAACAUCUUCUUGCUCGGUGAUAAUAUUUAUACGCUCCCUUUUUUUUUUCAAAAAUUAAAGGGAGCGUAUAAAUAUUUAUACUCAGUAAGAAAAGUGAAGAAGGUUCUGGAAAAACUUGUAACAAGUAAUGUUUAUUUUAUCAUUUUAAAUAUACUAAAACAUAUGAAGAAUGACGAAAUAAGGCUAAAUAAACCGUACCUAAAUACUACCACAAGUAAGCAAGUAGAGAAUACGAAGGCGUUUGAGUGAACAAUCAUUAAGGAACUCGGCAAACUAACUACCGUAACUUCGGGAUAAGGAGAGCCAUUCUUACUUAUUAGUAUAAGGUAAAGAAUAGGAAGCAUGGAAUAGUGUUGUACGACUGUUUAAUUAAAACAAAGCACUUUGCAAUAAGAUAAUAAAUCAAAGUAUUGAGUGUGAUUUCUGCCCAAUGUCGGCUGGUUAACGGAUUUUCUAGGUUGACUAAUAUAAGCUUGGAUUUGAAGGAAACCCCGAUCAAUGGCGGCCUUACCUAUGAGGGUCCUAAGGUAGCGGAAUACCCUGGCCGUUAAAUGCGGUCUUGCAUGAAUGAUUUAACGAUACAACAGCUGUCUCAAUGAUUGGCUCAGUGAAAUUGGAAUAACUGUGCAGAUACAGUUUACCUCUAGAUAGACGAGAAGACCCUAUGCAGCUUUACUGUUGCUAGUUAUUGAAUAUGAUUGAACCAAUAUUAGUGUAUAAGGUAGUUGGAGGCAAUUUUUUAAACCUCGUUCAGGCAAAAUUGAAACACCUUUAUUUUGUUUAUCAUAUUCGUAGGCUAUAGAGUCUACGUCAUAAUAUAAGGUGCGUUGUUAUUACGUUAUUAAGUAUUAUAAUUAACCCAUCAAAUGGGAACAAUGGCUAGGAGGCAGUUUAUGCGGGGCACAGAUCCCAUAAAAAGUACCUGGGUGUAUCCAAAGUUAAUUUUGUAAAAUUGUCAUGACUUACUUAUGACAAUUAAAUAUACAAACUGUAUAUUUUUAUUUUUAGUUUGUUAUUGGUUUAGCUUAAGCUAAAACUAAUCCAACUAUAUAUCUAUUAAGUUAGAAUUAAUAUUUUAAUUUAAGUAAGAUUUUAACUAUAUGGAAAAUAGAUGUAAUUAAAACAUUAAUUUGAAAAUAUUUUUCUAAUGUUUUUAGUUAUAUAAUUAGUUUAAAUUACACUUUUUAUAUAAUUAUGUUUAUUACUUGUCAAGUUUAAUGGCUUAAUCUUGCUUUACUGUUUGACUUACACGUCUAUCAGUCGCGUAAGCGGGGCAUAUGAUCACAAGAUGCAGAAAGGAAAGGUCUUGGAUUUUUGAAAAAGCUACGCUAGGGAUAACAGGCUAAUUGCGCCAGAGAGUACAAAUUGAGUGCGCAGUUUGGCACCUCGAUGUCGGCUUAACUUAUCCACAUGAAUGCAGGAAUCAUGAAGGGUUCGACUGUUCGUCGAUUAAAAAGUUACACGAGCUGGGUUAAAUACGUCGUGAGACAGUAUGGUUUCUAUCUUCUAGAGGAAAUUAGAAUAAAAUAAGCAUAGCCCCCUCGUACGAAAGGAGCUGGGUAUAUUAACCUAUGGUUUACCUGUUGUUUAUGUGCCCAAUAUAUUCUCAAUAAACUAAUAUAGAUGAGCGAAUAGGGAUGUUACUUUCACUUAAGUAAAUAUUUUGUAUCAUAGCAUAGGCACGGCAGGAACGCUAAGUUAGUUAGAGAUAAGUGCUGAAUGCAUCUAGGCACGAAACUUACCUUAAGAUAUUCUUAAAUAUACGUAGUUGAA
rnacentral:rRNA from 1 species